UUGUGUUCGAUUUGCAGCGGGUGUACGCUAAGGGAUACGGUGUUCUUCCUGAGUGGUACGGUUCUCGGUGCCGGUAGGGAUGAUAAAGGGUACUCAGAAAAUAUGUCUCCCUUAGAGUCCCACAGAAAGGUUCUCAGUGCGAUCUCUGUCAAGGCAAUUCUGAAGCGCUGAGCAGAGAUCUGC